UACGAAGGGGGCUAGCGUUGCUCGGAAUGACUGGGCGUAAAGGGCGCGUAGGCGGCUUGCACCGUCAGAUGUGAAAUUCCUGGGCUUAACCUGGGGGCUGCAUUUGAUACGUGUGGGCUUGAGUGCGGAAGAGGGUCGUGGAAUUCCCAGUGUAGAGGUGAAAUUCGUAGAUAUCUGGAGGAACACCGGUGGCGAAGGCGGCAUCCUGGACUGUAACUGACACUGAGGAACGAAAGCCAGGGGAGCAAACGGG
rnacentral:rRNA from 1 species